rnacentral:lncRNA from 1 species
AAUACUUGGACGAACUGUUUAACCGAGACAUCAUGCACUCGAGUCAUGCAAACCGGGUCGCCCGAUCUGGCGGGCUGAAAUUUAUCAGAGCAAAUUAGUCACAUAACUGUAUGAACAGCCUCAAAGAUAAGUGACUUUUUUUCUCGAUGCGUACUUCCACUCUGAGGGGUCUGUCAUGGCAGUUCAAAGCGUACGAGAUUUUGAAAUCAAUUUAUUUCUGAACUGAUUUCCUGAUUUUCGACUGAUUUCAACAUUUCCUGAAGAUACCAGUUACAGCAUUUCUAGUGCAUUUGAAUGCCUGAAAAUAAGUUUGUGAAAACAAAAUAUUGUUAUAGUUACAAACCAUCGUCUGAAAUAUGCAAAAGUGAAAAGGCUUGUUCCUGCAAUAUCACUUUCAAAAUUAUUAGCCUUUUAUAAAAAUUGGGUGAUUUCUGCAUGAUUUCCAAAUCAUCUGAUUUGUACUGAUUUCUAACCUGAUUUCUGAGUGAAGUGUACGAGAUUUCUGCCGUGACCGAUUCCUCAUUUUGUCCGAAUACAAGAACGUAAAUGUAAUUAAUUGUAUUUCUUAUACUGUACAGGGUAUACAGUAUAAGAAAAAACGCAACCUCGGAAUUUCCUAAGAAAUCACUUUGCAAUUCUUCAGCAUAAAAGAUUUUAGGCCCCUGGGAAUUGAAAUCAAAUUGCUACUAGAUCAUAUUACUGUUGUUUUGCAUUAAAUAAAUGCAUAAAUUUUGCUUUAUGCAACUCGCGUGUGCAGUAAUUUUGACAGUUGUGCUAUGUUAAAUUCCCAGGCGCCUAAAAUCUUUUGUCUUUAAAACAAUGUCGAUUUCUUGGGAAAUUCCGAGGUUGCGCUAUUUUUUAUACACCCUGUACUGUAUACUGCAUAGCCGUUCAUACGAAAGUUAAACAAUGUUUAAAUCAACAAUCAUUUUCAAAAGUUGCUGGGACACUUGCGGUUUUAGAUCAUCAAUAUAAAUGCAAAUUAUUACAAGCAUUUUUAUCUUUCUCCCCCCUCCCCCGUCCAUUCAAUGUUGUUUACCCAAUCCAGGCACUGUAGCACACCUACAGAGUAUGCUGACUGAGACCUAACAUAAAACGGGGGGAGGGGGGAUUGACGUUUUUCAACAUUUAAUACAGGUAGUUGGGGCAUCUGUCGCAACACAUUUGAAAAUGAUUGUAGUACAAGGUCUGGGAAUGGCAGAAAAAAGCGUUAUUAAACCUUGUUUUUACUGUCACCAUAUUAAAUCAAACAUUGUUUAAGUGAAUGUCGCUCAUAUAUAUCUACGUUUUGUGUCAUCAGUAUUUGAGCCUGCUUUUAAAAAGUUGAUGAGAAUUGACCAUACUCGAUGUUUGAUGAGAAUUUACGAGAGCUACAUCUCUAAUCAACUUUUAUUCUCGUUUCCCUUAAAGGACAUUGGAUCAUAGAUACUUUAUGAAUAAAUGAUCAAACGUUUGUUUUUGCACUUUAAAUUGGCAUUGUCAGACGCAAUUUUCAAUAUUUCAAAGUUUUUACCAUGACUGGCUAUGAUUAUGAGAUUUUUCAUUCUGUUCACCAGCAUAUCAAACAAAUUAAAAUGUUUCGAAGACAGAUAUUGAAAUGUUUAACAUAACUUUCUUUAAAGUUUUGAAAGUUAUUUCUAAC